CGCUCCAUAUAUGUCACACAUUCUGUUUUGAAGUGUAAUGUCUAUGGAAGCAGU
rnacentral:pre_miRNA from 1 species